CACACCCCAAGCUGUGCUUGAUGUUGGACGCUGUCUGUGAAAGGACAGGUCUGGAACGCGUGGGCGCCGCCGCCGGACCACGAGCGUAGCAAGACGCAAGUCAUUCGCUCUGUGGACUCUGGUGAGUGGUUGUCGUGAUGCCGGGUAAGAGCGACAUCAAAAGAGAUAUAAA
rnacentral:misc_RNA from 1 species